rnacentral:lncRNA from 1 species
UUUUUUUUUUACUUAUUAUAUAGGAAAUGUGUUCUUUUUUUUUUUGUUUUUGUUUUUUUUAUCGAUUUGAAUUGAAGUUUGAAAAAUUCAAACUGCUUCUACUUUUAAAUUAAUUGUUAUCGUUAUUGAAAUUGGAAAAAAUCCUUUCAAACUAUAUUCUAAUAAACACAGCCUUUAUAAUAAAAGCAAUCCAAAAAAAAUUAUUUUCUUCUUUU